GCUCUAGCCAUUUUUGGCAGCAGGUUGCAGGAAGCUGACGGUGAAAGAAAAUGGAUAUACGGCGUUUUUUCAAGGAGAAAGCAGGAGGAAGAAGUGGAAAACAGAUGGAAGUAAAUACUGGGUAGGUAAAAGCUGGAGGAAGAAUAAGACAACAAGCACAAAUGAAUAUGAAGUUGAUGAAAGCAGUAGAAAGAAGAAGAAGAAGGCAGCAAUUGAAGAUGAUUACGAGAAUGUUGGCCCAGACGACACAUACACAGCUCUUAAUAUUAAGACCUCAGAUGAUGUCUAUGAAGCUCUAACAACUCAGAGCAGUGCUCCUUAUGAUGUGACGCAGGUGUAGGUCUUCAGAGCAACCUCUUCUGUCUCCAACUUGGUGGAGUCAUGAUCAGAACCAUCACGACGGAUACAAAAAUUGAAGAAUGAGACAUUAAUUGCUUAAAAUACAGUGUUUCUUAUAAAGUUUGCCUAUUUUCUUUUCUUUUUUGCCUAGUUCCACAUUUACCUGCUAAAGCUUUACUGCAAACAGCCUAUUUGACUUGUGUGGCAAACCAAUAUAUUACCUUAUAAAGUGCUUGCUAUAUCAUUAAGUGUGUACUUUAUUCAAGUAUUGUUAAAAUUGAAUAUUUGCACAUCUGUUAUAUUUCCAAAUCUAUUUACUUUUACUCCUUUCUAUUGAAUGUCCCUGUUACAAGGUUCUCAGGCCCUGGGAUUUUUCAAUGCUGUGUUUAACUGUAUGACAGACUCAGAUCUGUUAGUGCCAAGUUACUUUAAUGUUAAGAAGUAAA